GUCCACGCCGUAAACGAUGGAUACUAGCUGUUGGGAGCAAUCUCAGUGGCUAAGCGAAAGUGAUAAGUAUCCCACCUGGGGAGUACGUUCGCAAGAAUGAAACUCAAAGGAAUUGACGGGGCCCGCACAAGCGGUGGAGCAUGUGGUUUAAUUCGAUGAUACGCGAGGAACCUUACCAAGGCUUAAAUGUAGAUUGACAGGACUGGAAACAGUUUUUUCUUUCGGACAAUUUACAAGGUGCUGCAUGGUUGUCGU
rnacentral:rRNA from 1 species